rnacentral:rRNA from 1 species
GAUGAACGCUGGCGGCGUGCCUAAUACAUGCAAGUCGAGCGAACAGACGAGGAGCUUGCUCCUCUGACGUUAGCGGCGGACGGGUGAGUAACACGUGGAUAACCUACCUAUAAGACUGGGAUAACUUCGGGAAACCGGAGCUAAUACCGGAUAAUAUAUUGAACCGCAUGGUUCAAUAGUGAAAGACGGUUUUGCUGUCACUUAUAGAUGGAUCCGCGCCGCAUUAGCUAGUUGGUAAGGUAACGGCUUACCAAGGCGACGAUGCGUAGCCGACCUGAGAGGGUGAUCGGCCACACUGGACCUGAGACACGGUCCAGACUCCUACGGGAGGCAGCAGUAGGGAAUCUUCCGCAAUGGGCGAAAGCCUGACGCAGCAACGCCGCGUGAGUGAUGAAGGUCUUCGGAUCGUAAAACUCUGUUAUUAGGGAAGAACAAAUGUGUAAGUAACUAUGCACGUCUUGACGGUACCUAAUCAGAAAGCCACGGCUAACUACGU